rnacentral:rRNA from 1 species
GACGAACGCUGGCGGCGUGCUUAACACAUGCAAGUCGAACGGAAAGGCCCUGCUUUUGUGGGGUGCUCGAGUGGCGAACGGGUGAGUAACACGUGAGUAACCUGCCCUUGACUUUGGGAUAACUUCAGGAAACUGGGGCGAAUACCGGAUAUGAGCUCCUGCUGCAUGGUGGGGGUUGGAAAGUUUCGGCGGUUGGGGAUGGACUCGCGGCUUAUCAGCUUGUUGGUGGGGUAGUGGCUUACCAAGGCUUUGACGGGUAGCCGGCCUGAGAGGGUGACCGGCCACAAUGGGACUGAGAUACGGCCCAGACUGCUACGGGAGGCAGCAGUGGGGAAUAUUGCACAAUGGGCGGAAGCCUGAUGCAGCAAUGCCGCGUGCGGGAUGACGGCCUUCGGGUUGUAAACCGCUUUCGCCUGUGACGAAGCGUGAGUGACGGUAAUGGGUAAAGAAGCACCGGCUAACUACGUG